rnacentral:rRNA from 1 species
CCUACGGGCGGCAGCAGUGGGGAAUAUUGCACAAUGGGCGCAAGCCUGAUGCAGCCAUGCCGCGUGUGUGAAGAAGGCCUUCGGGUUGUAAAGCACUUUCAGCGGGGAGGAAGGCGGUGAGGUUAAUAACCUCAUCGAUUGACGUUACCCGCAGAAGAAGCACCGGCUAACUCCGUGCCAGCAGCCGCGGUAAUACGGAGGGUGCAAGCGUUAAUCGGAAUUACUGGGCGUAAAGCGCACGCAGGCGGUCGGUCAAGUCGGAUGUGAAAUCCCCGGGCUCAACCUGGGAACUGCAUUCGAAACUGGCAGGCUAGAGUCUUGUAGAGGGGGGUAGAAUUCCAGGUGUAGCGGUGAAAUGCGUAGAGAUCUGGAGGAAUACCGGUGCGAAGGCGGCCCCCUGGACAAAGACUGACGCUCAGGUGCGAAAGCGUGGGGAGCAAACAGGAUUAGAUACCCUAGUAGUC